GUGUUUACCUGGCAGGGGAGACACCAUGAUCAAUCAGGUGGUUUUCCCAGGGUAAUUGUCGCUGAUAUGUCCUCCAUAGGAGGUCUAUGUUGAGCAGAUUCUUUUUGGUAUUGGGUGGUGGAACUGGAGCGUGCUCCAUCCACUC
rnacentral:snRNA from 1 species